UACGGGGGGGGCAAGCGUUGUUCGGAAUUACUGGGCGUAAAGGGCGCGUAGGCGGCCAUCUAAGUCAGACGUGAAAUCCCUCGGCUCAACCGAGGAACUGCGUCUGAUACUGGAAGGCUUGAAUCCGGGAGAGGGAUGUGGAAUUCCAGGUGUAGCGGUGAAAUGCGUAGAUAUCUGGAGGAACACCGGUGGCGAAGGCGGCUCGCUGGACCGGUUCUGACGCUGAGGCGCGAAAGCGUGGGGAGCGAACAGG
rnacentral:rRNA from 1 species